CCUCCUUUAACUGAUGCUCUUCGCAAAGAAAUUUGUGAAGAGUAUAGGAACUCGGACGAAAUAAACGAAGAAAUCAUGAGGAUUCACAAAGAAAGCUACGAGCUAUGCCGAAGUCUUGGCAAGGAAAGGUUGAUCAAGGCUAACUUAGAUCCUUACCUGCUGGACUCUUCGGAUGAUGAUGGAGCUACCUGAAGCACCAUCUUAUG
rnacentral:lncRNA from 1 species